GACGAACGCUGGCGGCGUGCUUAACACAUGCAAGUCGAACGGAAAGGCCCUGCUUUUGUGGGGUGCUCGAGUGGCGAACGGGUGAGUAACACGUGAGUAACCUGCCCUUGACUUUGGGAUAACUUCAGGAAACUGGGGCUAAUACCGGAUAGGAGCUCCUGCUGCAUGGUGGGGGUUGGAAAGUUUCGGCGGUUGGGGAUGGACUCGCGGCUUAUCAGCUUGUUGGUGGGGUAGUGGCUUACCAAGGCUUUGACGGGUAGCCGGCCUGAGAGGGUGACCGGCCACAUUGGGACUGAGGUACGGCCCAGUCUCCUACGGGAGGCAGCAGUGGGGAAUAUUGCACAAUGGGCGGAAGCCUGAUGCAGCAACGCCGCGUGCGUGAUGACGGCCUUCGGGUUGUAAACCGCUUUCGCCUGUGACGAAGCGUGAGUGACGGUAAUGGGUAAGGAAGCACCGGCUAACUACGUG
rnacentral:rRNA from 1 species